rnacentral:rRNA from 1 species
UACAGAGGGUGCGAGCGUUAAUCGGAAUGACUGGGCGUAAAGGGCGCGUAGGCGGGAUCAUAAGUAGUGUGGGAAAGACAUGGGCUCAACCUGUGGGCGCCAGAUUAGACUGUGAUUCUAGAGAAGAGGAGAGGAGAGAGGAAUUUCCAAAGGAGCGGUGAAAUGCGUAGAUCUUGGAAAGAACACCGGUGGCGAAGGCGCCUCUCUGGCCUCUGACUGACGCUGAGGCGCGAAAGCGUGGGGAGCAAACAGG